rnacentral:rRNA from 1 species
ACGGAAGGCAGCAGUGGGGAAUAUUGCACAAUGGGGGAAACCCUGAUGCAGCGACGCCGCGUGAGUGAAGAAGUAUUUCGGUAUGUAAAGCUCUAUCAGCAGGGAAGAAAAUGACGGUACCUGACUAAGAAGCCCCGGCUAACUACGUGCCAGCAGCCGCGGUAAUACGUAGGGAGCGAGCGUUAUCCGGAAUUACUGGGUGUAAAGGGAGUGUAGGCGGGACUGUAAGUCAGAUGUGAAAUAUGCCGGCUCAACUGGCAGACUGCAUUUGAAACUGCGGUUCUUGAGUGAAGUAGAGGUAAGCGGAAUUCCUAGUGUAGCGGUGAAAUGCGUAGAUAUUAGGAGGAACACCGGUGGCGAAGGCGGCUUUCUGGACAGUAACUGACGCUGAGGCGCGAAAGCGUGGGGAGCAAACAGGAUUAGAUACCCUGGUA